rnacentral:lncRNA from 1 species
UUAUAUGCCUUAGAGAAAGUCUCAAGAGGGGAUAAGCUGAAACAUUAUAUCAAAAUAGAAAGUAGUGAGCAAAGUAAAAGCAUUCUUAUUUGUCCUUCCACUGCACAGAAGCUCCAUUUAGCAACCUAACUUCUAUAAUUUAAGUCAACAAACAAAGGAAGAUCAAUAUCGAGAAACAAAAAGCGUAUGAAUAUCAAAUUACAGUAAAAGACUAUAAGCAGAUGGAUACAUUUUCUUGUUAAAAUUAACUAAUGGCAUAGAAAACAACACAUUUAACAAUGAUAGAGAAAUUUAAUAGUACUAUGUGGUAUGAGCCUAAGAGAAAAGGAACCAU